UUCCGCGGCCGUGGCUACAUUGUUUUUGGUGGCGUUGGGUCGGAGGGGAAGGAGUGGCUGUCGGCAAAGGCCACGCAAACUUCCCCAGCUCCCAGGCAGCCAGGGGCCACAGCACAGCAAGGAGAUUAACCAAAUCGGAUUUAGGGAGCUGGAAACUGCCGGGAUAAUCCACUCACGCCUCUGCUUAUCAGAUCUCCCUGCUCCUCUCUGUCUCAAUGAGCCUCUGCCCCGCUCCCUACCUCAACUUCACCCCUGCGAGCCGAGGCUCGGUGUCUCCAGAUGCGAACUCCCAUCUGCGGCGCACGUUGUCUGCUUGUCUGGCUUUAUUCGCCCAUUUGUUCAUUCGUAUUUAGUGAACAGCUACUCUGUACAGGUGCUCUGAAGACGAACGGCAAUCAACACACACAGUUCCUGCCUUCGUGGGGUUCAUAGCCUAGCAAGGGCCAUCGAUGGCAUCUCAGAAGAUUCUCAGGAAUUUUGGGGGAUGGCUCAGUCAGGUGCCACCGUCUCUGCUUCUUUUCUGGCCUCCCUUGUGACCCACACAGCUGUCCUACAGAUUGUGGAAGAAUGUGGGGUCUCUACCUGCGGUCCUCUGCUGCGGAGAAGCCCUUCCUGCUGGAGACGAUGCCAGGAUCUCAGGACACAACCUGACUGCGAUCCCUGAAGUAGUACAGGGGACACAAAUGGGAGAACGGACAAUUCUUCGGAGAUGCCACGUAAGACAAUGAGGGCUGCUGGGUCACCAUGUCUACAACACGUCAUCAGACGUUUCACAUACAGGUGGGUGGAUGGAGACGAGCCCAAAAGGUCAGCAGUUGUUGCAUCUGGAUGGAGGCUUCACAAGUGGUUGUAUGUAUGUUCUUUCCGUUGUUGUCUAUGUUUGGAAAUUGUCGAGUAAAAAGGUGGGGAAAAUACUAUCUGGGUAAGGUAAGAGGAACAGCUGUCCUCUCGUGGCUGGUAGUUUUGGGCUCUAGCCGAGGACUUCCCUUCUUGUGCCUCAAGGUGCAGUGUUUCCCCUAUACUUCGGGGUUCUUUAAAACUUGGGCAUAGUGGCUGUUCACGACAGGUUUCCAUUUUCUGCUGUCUGCCCUGGGGCCACCUCUGUGCCUCUCACUGGCUUCAUCCUCGGCCGGUUGGACCUUCUGAGGAGCCACCAGACCCUGCCCUGGCUGCCAUGGCAACAGAGGAGCAGCCCCUGGAGGAACAUGAAAGAGAAUGGAGAGCCUCUUAUUUUUAAGAUUUCUAGACAUCCGUGGGCUCUGGCAGCGUGGCCAGAGGCAGGUCAGAACAUUCCCCGGGCCAGCAAGCUGUGACCGCCACGGGGCAAACCCAACUGGGACGGAGGCCUGGGCAGGCACCUUCCUGGGGUAUUGGGGCAGGAGCAAGCAGAAAGCCCUAUCUUCACCCACUGCACCCCGUGCCAGCCUCCUUGCUGACCUUGCCUGAAGGUCCCUCCAUCAGUCACCACAAGCAAAGAGCGGGUGCUGACAUUAAGCCUUGGAGGUUGUUUGAAAAGCUAAUCUUGCCUUAGAAGGCGCCGGGGCUGGUGUGAGAGUGUCCACCCCACUCACAUCGGAUGGUUUUUCUUAUGGGCUGAGCUGUGUCCCCCUCCCCCCCCCCAGUUUCGUGUUAGAGCACCUCACAGUGUGACUGUAUUUGGAGACAGGAUUUUUAAAGAGGUAAUUAUGUUAAAAGGAGGGUGGGCCCUAAUCCAUUAUGACAGGAGUCCUUGGACACCCGCAGACAGAAGAUCAUCUAGGGACACGGGAGAAGAUGGCCAGCUACAAGCCAAGGAGAAAGGCUUCUGAAGCAACCAACCCUGCAGACACGAUCUUGAACUUGUAGACCUCCAGGACGGCGGCGACAUAAAUUUCAGUUGUUCAAGCCUCCCAGUCUGUGAUGCUUGUCAUGGUGGCCUUAGCCCACUAACACAGUCCCUGUCCCCAGAAUGUCCUGUCUGGUGCCCCAUCUUCUCAUCUCUCUCCACUCUGGGGUCUUCCCUCCCGGGCCACCAGCCCCGGCUUUCACAGUCUCUGAGACAGUUGCAAAUGCAAGACUGGUCAGGACGUUUCUUGAACUGCAGGUGUGCUGGAACCUUCUGGGGAAUGGAGCACAAUGAGCAUGAGCAGGGGGGCUCCGGAGCGCUUCCUGACAAGAAGACAGAUUGGAUGCCUGGAGGCACAGCAGCCAUCUUUCACCCAUGAGGAGAGAAGUCAGUUCUCUGCAGCUGAACACAGUCCUCACUGAGACCCAGCUCUUCCUAUGCAAAGUCUGGUAGCUCCUUCUGAAACCUCAGCACCUACCCCAGCCCCAGAGCAGCCUGGCCCAUGGAUGGUUGGGCCUCUUCCCUGACCCCACCGCACGGAGGUGAUGGCCCGAAGGUAUGGGAUCGCAGGUUUAGAGAAGAAUUGAUCACCUUCCAGGACACCAUACGGUUUACUUUCGUUGUGUUGGCUGUGUGAUGUCUACGCCUUUCUCCCCACCCCCAGGAUGAAGCCCCACACAGAUAAGGGUCUGGGUCUGCUUUGUUCUUUAAUGCCUUUCUAAAAGCCUGGAAGCAUUUCUGGCAUAGAGAAAGCAUUUGCUGACUGGAAUUAAUAGCUAUGUGUCCUAAGCACCAGCUGUUCUGGGCUGACUUGUGUCCCCCCCAGUUUGCAUGUUGAAGUCCUAACCCCAGGACCUCGAAAUGUGAACCGUAUUUUGAUAUGGGUCUUUGGAGAGGUAGUUAAGUUAAAAGGAGGUCAGUAGGGUGGGCCCGGAUCCAAUAUGACUGGUGUCCUCGUAAGAAGAACUGAUUAGGGACCCAGAAUGCAGAGAAGGAAGACGAUGUGAAGACACAACAGGAAGAUGCCCAACCACGAGCCCAGGAGAGAAGCCUUAGAAGAAACCAUCCGUGCUGACAUCCUGAUCUCGGACUCCCAGCCUUCAGAAUCAUGAGACAUAAAUCUCUGUAGUUUAGGCCACCCACCACGUCCGUGGUCUUUUGCUAUGGUGGCCCUAGCACACGGAUACAGCAGCCAUACCUGA